rnacentral:rRNA from 1 species
UACGUAGGUGGCGAGCGUUGUCCGGAUUUACUGGGCGUAAAGGGCGUGCAGGCGGUUUGUCAAGUCUAGGGUGAAAGCUCCCGGCUUAACUGGGAGAGGUCUUUGGAUACUGGCAGACUUGAGGGAGGCAGAGGAGAGUGGAAUUCCCGGUGUAGUGGUGAUAUGCGUAGAUAUCGGGAGGAACACCAGUGGCGAAGGCGGCUCUCUGGGCCUUACCUGACGCUGAGACGCGAAAGCGUGGGGAGCGAACCGG